ensembl:lncRNA
GGAAAAGAACCCUGUUUUUCCAGGCGUAGUGACUGGGCGUGAUUCUUAGCUCCUGAAUAAAAUGAUUUCCAACUUUGAAAUCAGUUCUUCGAACUUCAAACUUUGAAAUUGUUAGUUAAGUUGUGAAGACAGAACAAAGACGCUUUCCGGGUAUUCAAGUUCUCAGAAUAUUGACCUCCUCCCAAUGCUUUUUUACUUUUUAUUUUUAUUUUAUUUUAUUUGUCUUUUUAGGGCUGCACUCGCGGCACAUGGAGGUUCCCAGGCUAGGGGUCCAGUCGGAGCUAUAGCUGCUGGCCUACACCACAGCCAGAGUAACGCCGGAUCCUUAACCCACUGAGCAAGGCCAGGGACGGAACCUGCGUCCUCAUGGAUACUAGUUGAGUUGGUUAACCGCUAAGCCAUGACAGGAACUCCCAACACUUUUUUAAAAGGAAGUUACUUGAGGAUAAGAAAACUGUGACGAGAAGUUUGAAAAUGACAACCAUGCUUCAGGUCCAGAGAAUGACCCGUGGUUCUGAUUUGUCCCCAGGCCAGGACCCCGCAGGCUCAUGGCAGAUGAGCGGAAAGACAGCUGGCGCCAGGGGACGAGCUGGGAGCUACCUGACGUGAUGGAGAAGAACAAAGGGUGCACUAAAGGAAGAGGAACAACAUGAGAAUGUAUUAGAGGAAGAAGGUUAAAACCAUCAGGGCGGAUGAAGCAGGCAGACAGUGUUUACAGAAGGAAAGCUAAUCGUAACGCCUCUCGGCUCGACAGAAACCAGUCUCUAUGAUUUGGAGCCACAAUUGCAGAGGAAAGUCACGGAAACGCAGCAGGAUGAUCUAACUGGUUUGCCAAGGACAUGCUGCUCUUCUAAAAUUCUCUUGUAGUUCUUCUACAACCAAAGCAAUCAUGGGCCAAAAAAUCAGCAGCCGUCCACACGGAAACUGCUCAGUGACCAGGGCAAGCCUAGACAAGUCUCAGGCCACACCUGACUAAAUGCCACCUGGUGACGUGUUGCACUGGCCUCAUCCUGGAGGGAACAACUCCUGUGGUUACUGGGACAUCCAGUCGGAAACUCCUGGAGGGCCCUUCCUGCAGCAUACAGAGGCUCCCCAGCUGGGUGUCGCACUGGAGCUGCAGCCACCAGCCUCCACCGCAGCCACAGCAACCCCAGAUCUGAGCUGCAUCUGCGACCUACGCAACUCAUGGCAACGCUGGAUCCUUAACCCACUGAGCAGGGCCAAGGAUCGAAACCAUGUCCUCAUGGAUACGAGGUGGGUUUGCUAUCGCUGAGCCACGGCAGAACUCCCGUGCGGGACUUUUGCUAGUUGCCCUUCAUUUUCAUCAUUACCCUGGCUUCAUCUGAGUGUUGACCCAAGAAAAACUGCCCUUUUGGCCAUUUUCCUGAAAGGCUGCUUCUUUCUUAAAUGCUACAAAAGAGGCUGCCCCAAUAAGGCUCUGAUAAUCAGUCCCUAGUGGGUCCUCUGCCUUUGUCAGGAUGAAUACGUGGAAGAAAGUGAGGCGAAGGCAUGUCUGCACUCCUGCCAGGGAGACAGACAAUCGGGGACUGUUUGGGGGAUUUAUGAGGACUUUGCUGCAGCACGCAGAUCGCCUGGCCACCACAGGGAAAAUAUGCACUGAAACAAUGGAGGUGUUUGGAAAUGAUUCAUGUCGUUUCCAGGAACGACGCUAAUAGACCAAACACAUUAACCCCAGUGAAGGCUUUGGUGAGACGGACAACCUGCCGGCACCGGCUGCCUUCUCUGUUGGUUUCCUCGUCUGCCUGGAGGGGGUCCACGGCCCAGCCUCGUAGACACGGGUGGGGCGCCCCCCGAGAGGCACCCUGGACUCUGGGCACCCGGGAGGUCUGCACUUGCUCGGGGAACCGCCCGUGCAGGGAGAAGGCGCCCAGGAAAUGGAGAUGGCGCCAGCGCAACAGAAAUCAGCAUGUCUCCGAGCAGAAAAGGCGCACGACGUGAAGUCAGUAUUAUCUGGGUGGUUUGAUACUGCAAAACGCUUGUCACAGGAAUUUAGAAAGUUAAAAAGAAACAAAGAAAAGAAAAGAUGAAAUCUUAGUCCCAUCACCCAGAGAAACCACAGUGAACCUUUUUGCACAUUUGCUUUGAGAACUUUCAUACUAUAGCUCAAGGGGCGAAAAGUUGUUCUUGCACAUCGUGUGUUUAACCUUAUUACUACACAGAACCCUUGACCAUGAUCCACGGGCGUAUGAGCGGAUGUCAUUAACUACGGAUAAGCAGCAGCGUUUAUUGCUUUCCCAUCAUCCGUUAAGAGAAUCCACCCUUGAUCACCGAACAGCCUCCCUUUUGGACACUUGAGCUGCUUACAUGUUUCACUGUUAGAAAUAGUGCUGUCCUAGAAUGCAUAUUUUGGGGCAUAAAGGUUUUUCCAUAUCUUGAAUUCUUUCCUUUGCAUAAAUGCCCAGAAGUGGAAUAUUGGAACAAGUAAUAUGAGCAUCUUUGAGACUUUUGAUGUAUGUCACCUGCUAACCUUACACCAAACUGGUGCUUUUCAUUAAAUAAAACAUGUUCAAAUACU